rnacentral:rRNA from 1 species
GCUUGGGAAUAUGCCUUUACGUGGGGGACAACAGUUGGAAACGACUGCUAAUACCGCAUAAUGUCUUCGGACCAAAGGAGGGGACUCUUCGGAGCCUUUCGCGUAAAGAUUAGCCCAAGUGGGAUUAGCUAGUUGGUAAGGUAAUGGCUUACCAAGGCGACGAUCCCUAGCUGGUUUGAGAGGAUGAUCAGCCACNCUGGGACUGAGACACGGCCCAGACUCCUACGGGAGGCAGCAGUGGGGAAUAUUGCACAAUGGGCGAAAGCCUGAUGCAGCCAUGCCGCGUGUGUGAAGAAGGCCUUCGGGUUGUAAAGCACUUUCAGUCGUGAGGAAGGGGUAGUAAUUAAUACUUGCUAUCUUUGACGUUAGCGACAGAAGAAGGACCGGCUAACUCCGUGCCAGCAGCCGCGGUAAUACGGAGGGUCCGAGCGUUAAUCGGAAUUACUGGGCGUAAAGCGUACGCAGGCGGCUUGUUAAGCCAGAUGUGAAAUCCCCGGGCUCNNCCUGNNAAUGGCAUUUGNAACUGGCAAGCUAGAGUUUUGNAGAGGGUGGUAGAAUUUCNGGUGUAGCGGUGAAAUGCGUAGAGAUCUGANGGAAUACCNGUGGCGAAGGCG